rnacentral:rRNA from 1 species
CAGCCGUAAACGAUGCGCGUUAGGUGUAUCGACGACCACGAGUCGUCGAGGUGCCGAAGGGAAACCGUGAAACGUGCCGCCUGGGAAGUACGGUCGCAAGGCUGAAACUUAAAGGAAUUGGCGGGGGAGCACCACAGCAGGUGGAGCCUGCGGUUUAAUUGGACUCAACGCCGGAAAUCUCACCGGAUAAGACAGCAGAAUGAUUGCCGGGCUGAAGACUCUGCAUGACUAGCUGAGAGGUGGUGCAUGGCGUCAGUGACU